UACGUAGGGUGCGAGCGUUAAUCGGAAUUAUUGGGCGUAAAGAGCUUGUAGGCGGUUUGUCGCGUCUGCCGUGAAAGUCCGGGGCUCAACUCCGGAUCUGCGGUGGGUACGGGCAGACUAGAGUGAUGUAGGGGAGACUGGAAUUCCUGGUGUAGCGGUGAAAUGCGCAGAUAUCAGGAGGAACACCGAUGGCGAAGGCAGGUCUCUGGGCAUUAACUGACGCUGAGGAGCGAAAGCAUGGGGAGCGAACAGG
rnacentral:rRNA from 1 species